GAAUGAUAUAAAACCUCAAAAAUGCACACAAUCUUUUUGGGGGAAAAAGGCUCCCUCAUUGGAGAACUUGGUCCGAAUUUAAUGAAAAGUUGCAUAUCUGAAUAGUUUUGCUUGGAUGAAUUGUGCAAUAGCUUCGAGAGGUCUACAACCACACACUAAUACUAUAGACUACUUUUAUUCAAGUCACGCUUCCCUUUCUUUCUCCGAGCUGAAGAACUCACAAUCUCUUUUCUCCGAGCUGAAGAUCAAACUGAAGAUCGAGCUGUAGAACUACCGAGCUAACCGAGCUUUCUCUUCUCCGAACUGAAGAUUUCGUCAAGAUUUCUUGUUGCAGAACUUGAUUUCAGACAAAUUUAGGGUUUACCGGAAGUAUAAUCAACAUAUAGAAAUAUUUUUGGAGGAUUCAAGGUUUGAUUUGGCAUAGCACAAGAGCCAUGACUAGGUAAUUAAUAUGGACUAAUAUACCAGAAACUGUUAUUGAUGUGCCUUCAGAGGAAUUUGAUAAUCAGCAACUUGAGGUCGAGUAUGAAAAGGAGUUUGAAGAUGAGUUUAAAAAGGAGUUUGAAGAUGAGUCUGAAAGUGAGUAUGAAGAUGAUUCUGUAGAUGAGUCAGAAGAUGAAUUCGAAGAUGAGUUUGAUGAUGACACACCAUGAUCUUUAUUAUUUUUGUGAUGACCAUAUAGUGCUAACUUACUCUUUUGGUCAUCUGACUGUUUUUUGUACAAAUAUCUUAAGAUGUCUAUGACUAAGGCAUUGGACAUUACAGGCAGCACAGUAAAAGCAGUGAAGGCAGCACAAUGAAAUUAAUCCUCUGUAUGUUACUCUCUCCGAUCCUCGGUAUUUGAUGGAAUUUUCCGGUGUUAUGCUGUGGUGAUUGCGGUUAUUGUGGUUGUUGCGGAGACUGAAUGGGCAUUUUUCAUCAAGUUCUGGAAGGGAAAUGGAGGUGAACAAAUUUGAAUUGGAUGAUGAAGAGUUUUUUUGAACUAUUGUAGAAGUUUGAAUAUAUUAUAUUUGAUUUUGUGAAAUAUAUUCAUUGGUGGAAUAUAUUGAACUAUUGUAAGAGUAUUUUUUGAACUAUUGUGUACACAUUUAGAGUAUUGCUUUAUAAAUAUGUGUAUGUACACAACACAUAUCAUGUUUUGAAGUUUAUGGAAAAUCUAUAAAUUUGUAAGAGUACUUAAUGCUUGAGAUUAUUUAUUGAAAAACAAUAUUGGUGUA